rnacentral:rRNA from 1 species
UACGUAGGGUGCGAACGUUGUUCGGAAUCACUGGGCUUAAAGGGCGCGUAGGCGGCCCGCCGCGUCCGGGGUGAAAUCCUUCCGCCUCAACGGGAGAACGGCCUCGGAUACGGGCGGGCUGGAGGGGGGUAGGGGCACGCGGAACUGUGGGUGGAGCGGUGAAAUGCGUUGAGAUCCACAGGAACUCCGGUGGCGAAGGCGGCGUGCUGGACCCCAUCUGACGCUGAGGCGCGAAAGCCAGGGGAGCGAACGGG